CAAUAGGUCAACUUCAAGCUACUGACCAUAGUUUUGUGCCUAAAUCAAUGCCUUGGGCCAGGUAAAAAGGCUUAUGUGGAAAAGUAAGGGGAAGUCAUUGAGCCUUGUACGAUGGAUCUUAUGGUUAAUGGGAUUUAUUUUAACAGGACUGCUAAAGGUGAUAAGUAAGAUCAGUAUUACAGGCUGGUCUCACCUAGCUGUGUGAGGGCCUACUGAUAGUAAUUUUGCUUUAAAGAUUCCUUGGUCAAGGGCUAAGAAAGUGAAUUGUACAGAAAAGUGUUAACCUAGCAGGCAGGACUACUAUUUCUUGGAAUUCCCACUUACAAGUUUGGCCGUUGGCUAGUGGAUUUGGGGAGGCAUCACAUAACUAACCUAAAAGAGUGACUCAUUAAGCCUAAAUUAUUUGUGCAAAUAAUAUGGUUUAUGUUUAACACCUGCUUUCCUGUAGGAAUUCUGGAGUUUGUAUGUGUGCCAGGCAGAAGAGGUCUACAUGACCGGUCCGCAGCCAAAACUCUGGCAUGAAGGCGCUAAUGAACUUCCCAACUUGGCAUCAUUUCACUCCUUGUGUUAUCUUUUCCUUUACUUAAUCUUUUUUUAAUCUUAAUUUUCACUAUAAACAAGAAGAAACAUGGCUGCAUCUUCAACACUUCACUUGGAAGUGUCCUCAGCUAAAAAUCCAAGGUGUCAAAAGUCAACCAGCUUUUCUCCACUAUAGACUUCCACUAUGAUAUUCUACUUCAUUUCAGACCCACAGCAAUGGAAUUAACCAACCAUGAACAGAAACAUCUGAAACUGAGCCAAAAUAAACUUUUCC